AGAACGAACGCUGGCGGCAGGCCUCAAACAUGCAAGUCUAGGGGGCGUAGCAAUACGUCACCGGCGGACGGGUGCGUAACACGUGGGAAUGUACUUACUGGUUCGGAACAACUCAGGGAAACUUGAGCUAAUACCGAAUGUGCCCGAAAGGGGAAAGAUUUAUCGCCAGUAAAUCAGCCCGCGUCCGAUUAGCUAGUUGGCGGGGUAAAGGCCCACCAAGGCGACGAUCGGUAGCUGUUCUGAGAGGAAGAUCAGCCACACUGGGACUGAGACACGGCCCAGACUCCUACGGGAGGCAGCAGUUGGGAAUCUUGGACAAUGGGGGAAACCCUGAUCCAGCCAUGCCGCGUGAGUGAUGAAGGCCUUCGGGUUGUAAAACUCUUUCGACGGGGACGAUAAUGACGGUACCCGUAGAAGAAGCUCCGGCUAACUUCGUGCCAGCAGCCGC
rnacentral:rRNA from 1 species